rnacentral:rRNA from 1 species
AAGCGUACCGAUAGGUGGUUUUGCAAGUCAGAGGUGAAAUUCCAAGGCUCAACUUUGGGACUGUCCUUUGAAACUGCAAAACUAGAGGGGCAAAGAGGAAGCUGGAACGAACGGUGUAGUAGUGAAAUGCGUUGAUAUCGUUCGGAACACCAAUAGCGUAGGCAGGCUUCUGGGUGCCACCUGACACUGCUAGGACGAAAGCGUGGGGAGCGAAUGGGAUUAGAUACCCCAGUAGUCCACGCUGUAAACGAUGCACAUUCGGUGCUAGGGAGUAUCGACCCUCUUUAGUGCCAAAGCUAACGCGUUAAAUGUGCCGCCUGGGGAGUACGGCCGCAAGGCUAAAACUCAAAGGAAUUGACGGGGACCUGCACAAGUGGUGGAGCAUGUGGUUUAAUUCGACGGUAAGCGAGGAACCUUACCAAGGCUUGACAUGUACCUGCAUACGUCUGGAAACAGCGUAGCCUUCGAGGGUGGUACACAGGUGCUGCACGGUUGUCGUCAGCUCGUGCCGUGAGGUGUUCACUUAAGUGUGAAAACGAGCGCAACCCCUAUCAUCAGUUACAAGUGUCUGAUGAAACUGCCGGCGUUUAAGCCGGAGGAAGGCGGGGAUGACGUCAAAUCAGCGUGGCUCUUACGCCUUGGGCGACACACGUGCUACAAUGGGAUGGAACAAAGGGACGCCAAGGAGCAAUCCGGAGCAAAUCCUAGAAAAACAUCCCCCAGUUCGGAUCGAGGGCUGCAACUCGCCCUCGUGAAGCCGGAAUCACUAGUAACCGUAUAUCAGCCUCGAUACGGUGAAUACGUUCUCAGGUUUUGUACACACCGCCCGUCAAGCCAUGGAAGCGGGAAGCGGAUGAAGCGCGCCGUAAGGCGUUCCAAUCCGAAGCUCGUAACUGGGGCUAAGUCGUAACAAGGUAA